rnacentral:rRNA from 1 species
CCUACGGGAGGCAGCAGUGGGGAAUAUUGCUCAAUGGGCGAAAGCCUGAAGCAGCAACGCCGCGUGGUGGAUGAAGGUUCUCCGUAUGUUAAGCUCUAUCAGCCGGGGACAAAAUGACGGUACCUGUUUAAGAAUCCCCGGCUAACUACGUGCCAGCAGCCGCGGUAAUACGCAGGGGGCAAGCGUUAUCCGGAUUUACUGGGUGUAAAGGGAGCGUAGACGGGAGCACAAGUCUGGAGUGAAAUGCCGGGGCUUAACCCCGGAACUGCUUUGGAAACUGGGCAGCUAGAGUGCAGGAGAGGUAAGUGGAAUUCCUAGUGUAGCGGUGAAAUGCGUAGAUAUUAGGAGGAACACCAGUGGCGAAGGCGGCUUACUGGACUGUAACUGACGUUGAGGCGCGAAAGCGUGGGGAGCAAACAGGAUUAGAUACCCUUGUAGUC